rnacentral:rRNA from 1 species
GAUGAACGCUGGCGGCGUGCCUAAUACAUGCAAGUCGAGCGAACGGACGAGAAGCUUGCUUCUCUGAUGUUAGCGGCGGACGGGUGAGUAACACGUGGAUAACCUACCUAUAAGACUGGGAUAACUUCGGGAAACCGUAGCUAAUACCGGAUAAUAUUUCGAACCGCAUGGUUCAAAAGUGAAAGACGGUCUUGCUGUCACUUAUAGAUGGAUCCGCGCUGCAUUAGCUAGUUGGUAAGGUAACGGCUUACCAAGGCAACGAUGCAUAGCCGACCUGAGAGGGUGAUCGGCCACACUGGAACCGAGACACGGUCCAGACUCCUACGGGAGGCAGCAGUAGGGAAUCUUCCGCAAUGGGCGAAAGCCUGACGGAGCAACGCCGCGUGAGUGAUGAAGGUCUUCGGAUCGUAAAACUCUGUUAUUAGGGAAGAACAUAUGUGUAAGUAACUGUGCACAUCUUGACGGUACCUAAUCAGAAAGCCACGGCUAACUACGUG